UACGUAGGGCACAAGCGUUGUCCGGAAUUAUUGGGCGUAAAGAGCUCGUAGGCGGCUUGUCACGUCGGGUGUGAAAGCCCGGGGCUUAACCCCGGGUCUGCAUUCGAUACGGGCUAGCUAGAGUGUGGUAGGGGAGAUCGGAAUUCCUGGUGUAGCGGUGAAAUGCGCAGAUAUCAGGAGGAACACCGGUGGCGAAGGCGGAUCUCUGGGCCAUUACUGACGCUGAGGAGCGAAAGCGUGGGGAGCGAACAGG
rnacentral:rRNA from 1 species